rnacentral:lncRNA from 1 species
GAAAGACUUGUAAAAGUUGCACAACUCUUACCUUGGGGGAAAGAUGUUACUGUCAAGAAUAUUAUCAGGAAUGCUUCUUCAGUAAUUCAGUACAUGGAGUUGAAGUCGUCAUCAAGGUGCGGUGGAAAGAAUCGUUUUGAUCAUGUCGGUUUUGAUUUGGAUGAUUUAGUCGCUGACUGUUUGAACAAAGAAAUCGGGUACAGGUAUGAUACUUGUGAUGUGGAAAAGGACUUGCAGUAUUUUGAGGUGGAGAAUUCUCCAACUUUGAGAACAGAAGGAACAAAUAAUCUCCAGAUUUCGCAUGAAUGCUUGGCCAUGAUUUAUUCAAAUUUCUUAGAUCACUUACCAUUGAUUAAGUCUUCUGCAGAAAUAGAAGAGGCAGAUUGGACAAAACAGGAGAAGGGAUAUGACAUUUACACUUGUAGAGAGUGGUGGACAGGCAAAUCAGAAAUGAGCAAGAAACUUUUGCUGAAGCAAAUUAUUGAGAAAGAUGUUGGAUUGAAUGCAAACCC